GCCAGACUCCUACGGGAGGCAGCAGUGGGGAAUAUUGCACAAUGGGGGAAACCCUGAUGCAGCAACGCCGCGUGGGUGAAGGAGCGUUUCGGCGCGUAAAGCCCUAUCGGCAGGGAAGAAGGAGGACGGUACCUGACUAAGAAGCCCCGGCUAACUACGUGCCAGCAGCCGCGGUAAUACGUAGGGGGCAAGCGUUAUCCGGAUUUACUGGGUGUAAAGGGAGCGUAGACGGCGAUGCAAGCCAGAUGUGAAAGCCCGGGGCUCAACCCCGGGACUGCAUUUGGAACUGUGUGGCUGGAGUGUCGGAGAGGCAGGCGGAAUUCCUAGUGUAGCGGUGAAAUGCGUAGAUAUUAGGAGGAACACCAGUGGCGAAGGCGGCUUGCUGGACGAUGACUGACGUUGAGGCUCGAAAGCGUGGGGAGCAAACAGGAUUAGAUACCCCCGUAACA
rnacentral:rRNA from 1 species